UCUUUCCUCAAACAUCCUCAAUUUCCAUCCUGAGCUCAUGUCUACCUGGCUCAUGUCAUCAGGAACUCAUGACUACCUGAUUCCACUGUUGCAAGUCCAGGAUCCAGGUGCUGAAGGCCACAUUGAACCCCGAUCUAGACUGCUGGCGCUGCCCUCAGAGGACUGGGCUCCCCUGCAUCUGUUAACAGUCAAGACAAUUCCCUACAGACAUGGUUCCUAUUCUCUUUUCUUGGCUGUGAGAUGCUUUCUUCAGCAGAGUGUGCAGGAGAUGGAAGUCAGAGGCCAUCGGCUUGCCCACAUUCCUCACCCAGAACUGAGCUGCGCAUGACUGCUGCUUCCCUGCCUUUGAGUAAUGAGGGGACACAGCAAGACGGCCACAUCAGGGCUGCUGUAUUAGUAAGGCUACUUUCCUGUCCAUUUAUCAUCAAUUAAAGGUGUGCUAGUUUGUAAAGCAACCCCAC
rnacentral:lncRNA from 1 species